rnacentral:rRNA from 1 species
AGAGUUUGAUCCUGGCUCAGGAUGAACGCUAGCGGCAGGCUUAACACAUGCAAGUCGAGGGGUAUUGGUUUUCGGACCAAGAGACCGGCGCACGGGUGCGUAACGCGUAUGCAAUCUACCUUUUACAGGGGGAUAGCCCAGAGAAAUUUGGAUUAAUGCCCCAUAGUAUAUAAACUUCGCAUGUUGUUUAUAUUAAAGUUACAACGGUAAAAGAUGAGCAUGCGUCCCAUUAGUUAGUUGGUAAGGUAACGGCUUACCAAGACGACGAUGGGUAGGGGUCCUGAGAGGGAGAUCCCCCACACUGGUACUGAGACACGGACCAGACUCCUACGGGAGGCAGCAGUGAGGAAUAUUGGACAAUGGGCGCAAGCCUGAUCCAGCCAUGCCGCGUGCAGGAUGACGGUCCUAUGGAUUGUAAACUGCUUUUGUACGAGAAGAAACACUCCGACGUGUCGGAGCUUGACGGUACCGUAAGAAUAAGGAUCGGCUAACUCCGUGCCAGCAGCCGCGGUAAUACGGAGGAUCCAAGCGUUAUCCGGAAUCAUUGGGUUUAAAGGGUCCGUAGGCGGUCUUAUAAGUCAGUGGUGAAAUCUCCCCGCUCAACGGGGAAACGGCCAUUGAUACUGUAGGACUUGAAUUAUUAGGAAGUAACUAGAAUAUGUAGUGUAGCGGUGAAAUGCUUAGAGAUUACAUGGAAUACCAAUUGCGAAGGCAGGUUACUACCAGUGGAUUGACGCUGAUGGACGAAAGCGUGGGUAGCGAACAGGAUUAGAUACCCUGGUAGUCCACGCCGUAAACGAUGGAUACUAGCUGUUGGGAGCAAUCUCAGUGGCUAAGCGAAAGUGAUAAGUAUCCCACCUGGGGAGUACGUUCGCAAGAAUGAAACUCAAAGGAAUUGACGGGGGCCCGCACAAGCGGUGGAGCAUGUGGUUUAA